rnacentral:rRNA from 1 species
GAUGAACGCUAGCGGCAGGCCUAACACAUGCAAGUCGAGGGGUAGAACACUUCGGUGUUUGAGACCGGCGCACGGGUGCGUAACGCGUAUGCAAUCUACCUUGUACAGGGGAAUAGCCCAGAGAAAUUUGGAUUAAUGCCCCAUAGUAUAUAACCUUCGCAUGUUGGUUAUAUUAAAGUUCCAACGGUACAAGAUGAGCAUGCGUCCCAUUAGUUAGUUGGUAAGGUAACGGCUUACCAAGACGAUGAUGGGUAGGGGUCCUGAGAGGGAGAUCCCCCACACUGGGACUUAGACACGGACCAGACUCCUACGGGAGGCAGCAGUGAGGAAUAUUGGUCAAUGGUCGCAAGACUGAACCAGCCAUGCCGCGUGCAGGAUGAAGCAUCUAUGGUGUGUAAACUGCUUUUGUACGGGAAGAAACACUCCUACGUGUAGGGGCUUGACGGUACCGUAAGAAUAAGGAUCGGCUAACUCCGUGCCAGCAGCCGCAGUAACAC